UACGGGGGGGGCAAGCGUUGUUCGGAAUUACUGGGCGUAAAGGGCUCGUAGGCGGCCAACUAAGUCGGAUGUGAAAUCCCCAGGCUUAACCUGGGAACUGCAUCCGAUACUGGAUGGCUUGAAUCCGGGAGAGGGAUGCAGAAUUCCAGGUGUAGCGGUGAAAUGCGUAGAUAUCGAGAGGAACACCUGCGGCGAAGGCGGGUAGCUGGGCCGACACUGACGCUGAGGCGCGAAAGCCAGGGGAGCGAACGGG
rnacentral:rRNA from 1 species